UGCCAGACUCCUACGGGAGGCAGCAGUGGGGAAUAUUGCACAAUGGGGGAAACCCUGAUGCAGCGACGCCGCGUGAGCGAUGAAGUAUUUCGGUAUGUAAAGCUCUAUCAGCAGGGAAGAAGAUGACGGUACCUGACUAAGAAGCCCCGGCUAACUACGUGCCAGCAGCCGCGGUAAUACGUAGGGGGCAAGCGUUAUCCGGAUUUACUGGGUGUAAAGGGAGCGUAGACGGCGAUGCAAGCCAGAUGUGAAAGCCCGGGGCUCAACCCCGGGACUGCAUUUGGAACUGUGUGGCUGGAGUGUCGGAGAGGCAGGCGGAAUUCCUAGUGUAGCGGUGAAAUGCGUAGAUAUUAGGAGGAGCACCAGUGGCGAAGGCGGCCUGCUGGACGAUGACUGACGUUGAGGCUCGAAAGCGUGGGGAGCAAACAGGAUUAGAUACCCCGGUAA
rnacentral:rRNA from 1 species